rnacentral:rRNA from 1 species
UAAAAUAAUUAAGGGCACACAAAGGAUGCCUAGGUAGUAAGAGCCGAUGAAGGACGUGGUAAGCUGCGAUAAGCCUAGAUAAGUUGCAAUCGAACGUAAGAGUCUAGGAUUUCCGAAUGGAGCAAUCUAUUAAGAUGGAGUCUUAAUACGAAAGAGGGAACCGCGUGAACUGAAACAUCUAAGUAACGCGAGGAAAAGAAAGUAAAAACGAUACCCAAAGUAGCGGCGAGCGAAAUGGGUCAAGCCUAAACCUUAAAUAUGUCAAGGAUACAGCCGUUGUAUUUAAGGGGUUGUGGGACAGAGUGAUGAAGAACUGUAAGAUAUUCAAUAUAGUGUAUUGAUGAAUUAGAAUUGUCUGGAAAGGUGAACCGCAGAAGGUGAAAGUCCUGUAUAAGUAAAUCCUUACACAUAUAACUUUGCUCCCAAGUAACAUGGAACACGAGGAAUUCUGUGUGAAUCUGUGAGGACCAUAUCUCAUAAGGCUAAAUACUCUUACUAACCGAUAGCGCAUAGUACCGUGAGGGAAAGGUGAAAAGAACCCCUGGAGGGGAGUGAAAUAGAACCUGAAAUUGUGUGCUUACAAGCGGUCAGAGCCAGUAAUGGUGAUGGCGUGCCUUUUGGAGAAUGAUCCUGCGAGUUACGUUAAACGGCGAGGUUAAGUAUAACGGAGCCGAAGGGAAACCAAGUCUUAAUAGGGCGAUUUAGUCGUUUGGCGUAGACGCGAAACCUGGUGAUCUAAACCUGUCCAGGAUGAAGCUGUGGUAAGACACAGUGGAGGUCCUAACCCACCGCCGUUGAAAAGUUGGGGGAUGAGGUAGGUUUAGGGGUGAAAAGCCAAUCGAACCAGGAGAUAGCUCGUUCUCUCCGAAAUGCAUCUAGGUGCAGCCUUGAGUGUUCAAUUAUGGGGGUAGAGCACUGAAUGAUCUAGGGGGCAUAUUGCUUACUGAAAUCAAUCAAACUCCGAAUACCAUAAUUUAUAGCUCAGGAGUGAGACUAUGGGAGUUAACUUCCAUUGUCAAAAGGGAAACAACCCAGACCACCAGCUAAGGUCCCUAAUUAUAACUAAGUGGGAAAGGAGGUGGAGAUUCACAAACAACUAGGAGGUUGGCUUAGAAGCAGCCAUACCUUUAAAGAGUGCGUAAUAGCUCACUAGUCGAGAGUCUCUGCGCCGACAAUGUAACGGGGCUAAGUUAUAAACCGAAGCUGUGGAAUCCGUAAGGAUUGGUAGGAGAGCGUUCUGUAGGCCGUUGAAGGAGAAGGGUAACCGACUCUGGAGGUAUCAGAAGUGAGAAUGCAGGAAUAAGUAGCGAGAAAGGGGGCGAGAAUCCCCCUCGCCGGAAGACCAAGGUUUUCAGGGUAAAGCUUGUCUUCCCUGAGUAAGCCGGGACCUAAGCCCAGGCUAUAAUGCGUAGGCGAAUGGAAAACAGAUUAAUAUUUCUGUGCCAGUCAUUUAUUGUGAUGGAGGGACGCAGAAGGGUAUGCGCGCGGACGAUCGGUUGUGUCCGUAGAAGUAUGUAGGGUGACUUAGUAGGUAAAUCCAUUAAGUUAUAUCUGAGGUAUGAUAUACAGUCGUAAGAUGAAUGCGCAAAUCCCACGCUGCCAAGAAAAGCUUCUAACGUUAAUAUUUGACUGCCCGUACUGCAAACCGACACAGGUGGUCAGGAUGAGAAAUCUAAGGCGGACAGGCUAACUCUCGUUAAGGAACUCUGCAAAAUAACCUCGUAACUUCGGGAGAAGAGGAGCCCUUGAGGGUCAGUAUCCACGCGAUACAAAGCGCUCGAGGGUCGCAGUGAAGAGGCUCAAGCAACUGUUUAACAAAAACACAGGUCUAUGCUAAGCUGGAAGGCGAUGUAUAUGGGCUGACACCUGCCCAGUGCUGGAAGGUUAAGAGGAGGAGUGAGAGCUCCGAAUUGAAGCCCCAGUGAACGGCGGCCGUAACUAUAACGGUCCUAAGGUAGCGAAAUUCCUUGUCGGGUAAG